UACGUAGGUCCCGAGCGUUGUCCGGAUUUAUUGGGCGUAAAGCGAGCGCAGGUGGUUUAUUAAGUCUGGUGUAAAAGGCAGUGGCUCAACCAUUGUAUGCAUUGGAAACUGGUUGACUUGAGUGCAGGAGAGGAGAGUGGAAUUCCAUGUGUAGCGGUGAAAUGCGUAGAUAUAUGGAAGAACACCAGUGGCGAAAGCGGCUCUCUGGUCUGUAACUGACGCUGAGGUUCGAAAGCGUGGGUAGCAAACAGG
rnacentral:rRNA from 1 species